rnacentral:tRNA from 1 species
AUCAGGAUGGCUGAGUGGUUAAGGUGUUGGACUUAAGAUCCAAUGGACAGAUGUCCUCAUGGGUUUGAACCCAACUCCUGCUA